GGGGCGUCAGGGUCGCUCUCUGAUUGGCUCCCGGCCGGGGCCCCAGAAGCUGCUGUGCCGCGAGCUCAGCCACAGCAGAUGGACCUCUCGCGCUCUCCUCCUCCUUGUACCAGCUCCUGGAUGCACGCGCCCCAGUGAUUGUUUCCAACAGCAGGAGAGCGAGCGAGUUGACCGAGGAGUUUACCGUUAACCGUUAGUUCAGCCGCCGUAACGGGAAGAAGAGGGAAGAAGGGAGGAGGAGGUGUAAGAGGAGAACCGGAGAGCCUGCGUCCCCGGGUUUGGUGAGCCGAAAUAGCAUCUCCUAAAGUCGGCAGGAAUCAGACAGAAGCGUCGAUGUAGCUAACUCCCUCUUUCUGGUGACUCAACAACAUCACACAGUCUUCACUACGCUCCUCUCAUGCUUACUGAGAAUGGAUGAUACAGAGUACGGGGUUCAGAUUGGAGAGAACAAGUUCAUCAGCAAGGUAACAGUCCUCUCACAUCUUAAGACAUACAACCUCUACUAUGAAGGACAGAAUCUACAGCUCAGACACAGAGAAGAAGAGGGGGAACUGAUUGUCGAGGGCCUGCUGAAUAUCUUCUGGGGCCUGCGGCGACCAAUCAGGCUUCAGAUGCAGGAUGACCACGAGCGAAUCCGACCGCCCCCCUCCUCUACGUCCUGGCACUCAGGUUGCAAUCUGGACAGUCAAGGUUCCCCCAACAGCACAGAUGGUCAACAGCAGAGCCCACCCACAGUGGAAGUGACGCCACCUGACAACCAACUGGAGGACAACGGUGUGAUGGAAGAACAGACAGAAGAGGACAGUGAGAGCUCCGCACAGCUCCUCAGAACGAAGAGUGAUGCCGGCGUCUUAAGACGGGGCCAGCGACGGUCACCGAGCGACCAGAGGAAAAUUCGACGCCAUCGCUUCUCCAUCAACGGACACUUCUACAACCACAAGACAGCAGUGUUUACUCCUUCUUACGGCUCAGUGACUAAUGUUCGGAUCAACAGCUGCAUGAGCACACCUCAGGUGCUACGAGUUCUCCUCAACAAAUUUAAAAUCGAAAACAGCCCAGAUGAUUUUGCGCUCUACCUCGUCCAUACAAGUGGAGAGCGUGUGAAACUGAAGCGAAGUGACUAUCCUCUGGUGCUGAGAGUAAUGCAGGGUCCAUGUGAGCAGGUCUGCAAGAUUUUCCUCAUGGAAGAAGACCUGGGAGAAGAAGUCACAUAUGAUGUGGCGCAGUACAUCAAGUUUGAAAUGCCUGUCCUGCAGAGUUUCAUCACCAAACUGAAGGAGGAGGAGGACAGAGAGGUGCAAAAACUCAGGAGGAGGUACACAUACCUGCGGUGUAUAAUUGAGAAGCAGCUCAGUUGUCUUCCAGAGGGGGCGACGUGUAUGUGAGCCGCUCAUCAAACUGUCAGAACCUCUCCCAGAGUACCACAUCCUCCUCCCAGCUGUGACCAAGAGAGUGACACAGAAUCAGCUGACAAGAACCCAAUGUAUGUGUUUCAGCGAUAAGCCUGCUCCUCUGAAUUCCUGCCUCUGCAUGGGGUCUUUUCCAAAUCAUCCAAUCAACAUACAGACAAAACUUUAACAUGCUGUACUGUGUGCAUGUUAAGUGUGACCAUCUCAGCAAUAGUCUUCAGAGUCAUGACGACUCACACAGCCUUGUAAAGAGUCUUGAUUCAGACCCAAUCACUUUAUCUCUCUCUCUCUCUGCUUUUCUCUUUGUCAUCACAUACAGUACACACAGAAAGACAUUCCUCUAUAAUUUUAACCUUUUUUGCAGAAUGAGCAUAAAAUGACACGUCCUGUUCUGUCUCUACCCUCCAGAUUGCAAGCUGAUACCCAAAAUCAAUUUAAAGCACAAACAUCAUAUGUUAUGGUAUUAGUGAAGUGCCUGUUAAAAGGUUUCUCCAAGCACAAACAAACAUAGGCACACAUUUAACUGUAAAGUACAAAGAAGCACAUCAGCCCACACAGUUUGGGUGAAUGUGAAACCGAGCAGACCACGAGCAAACGGUCGUAGCCUCAGAAGCUGGCACCAUCGAGUCCCACAUUGCACUGUGUGCCUUUAUGUUCCUCACUGUUUGAGAAUGUGUUAAAUAUUGUAACUGAAGGAAUUUAAUUGACCCUCUCCAUUUCAUCGCAGCUGAGAAGUUCACUGCAGGGAUUAUUGAAGGCCGUGUGAACAGAUAAUCUGUUUAUGUUGUGAUCGUCAGCCUGAUGGUAACAACUGUCUCCAGUUUUUCUGUAGGCAUUCAAACCGAAUGUUAAAGACAUUUUAUGAUUGAAGAUAAAGGAAACACCUAUUCACUUUCUUGCAGAGAGUUAGAUGUUUGUUGUAUGUUUGCCAGUAGCUGGUUAGCUUAGCAUAGCACAAAGACUGUAAACACAGGGAGAAACAGCAAGCCUGGCUGUGUCCGAAGGUAACAAAAUCCACUCACCAGCACCUCUAAAGCUCACUAAUUAACGUGUUGUAUGUCAUUUGUUUUAAUCUGUACAACAAACAAAGAGUAAAAAUGACACAUUGUGGUUUUACAGGGGUUUAUGUGCCGGACUAUUUCUUGGUCAGGACACAUAACCCCCUGUAAAACAGCGAUUUGUCGUUUUUUACACUUUCAUUUUUGUACGGAUUAAACAAACAGGAAGUAACGUGUUAAUUAGUGAGCAGAUUUUAUUACCUUCAAACAGAGCCAGGCUAGCUGUUUCCCCCUGUUUCUAGUCUUUGUGCUAAGCUAAGCUAACCUGGUACUUGCUGUAGCUUCAUAUUUACCACACAGUUUUCUCAUCAAACUCUCUGCAAAAAAAAACAAAUAAGCUGAUUUCCCAAAAUAUCAAACUAUUCAAAAAAAAAAUCCAUCCUGAAACAAUUGAACACUUUUUGGGCCCCUUUUGUUUUCUGGUGUAUUGUCCUUACUUGCAUUAAUGCCUUAUGUAAGACGGCAAGAAGAUGUCAUGUUGAGAUUUUAAAAAGCACAGUAAAAUACUGUUUGAUAGAAGAACAACAUCAUUCUUCACUCCUGGUAGUCAUUGGACGUUGGACUGGCUGUACAAAAAUGAUUUUACAUCCAACAGCGAAUGACACAAGAAGAGUGAACACAAGACUGUGAAUUACGCUGAUGACCUUUGAUAGAAGAAUGUUGUAGAUGUAUGAAUGAGCAUUUCAAAGCAGUACAAUCUGCCUCCAUAUGUACAGCGCUUUGCAUACGUCUGCUUUUGUCUGUUCGUUCAAUAUUUCUAACAUCGUUGUUGAAAAUGUCAUCCAGAGUGUGUGCGUGUGAUUUUGAGAGUGUGCAUGUUGUAUUUUUAGUGACUCUUAAGACUUGCCUGCUUUUGUAUUGUGUCUUUUACAAAAUAAUGAAGGAACUUUAGUCUUUAAGAUGUUAACAACUCAUGCCACUAUUUGGAAAUGUAGGGGUUUUUUUUCGUACAAUGAUUGCUAUUUAAUAAAAAAAAGUUAUCUUGAGAAAAGAUGAACAUGAUAUGUAUAUCUGUAAUCUCCUUCAGGUCAGUGGGUGAAAAGCCAACUGUAGCAUGUUAUAUAAUGAUGUUUAAAUCUUGUGUAAUUUAAAAUGACAGACGAGAUAUAACAUUAGUCAUAGUCGAAGCUUCGGGAGAGCUCGUUAAGUGUUCUGGUUUGUUCACUCAGUGGGUUAAAUAAUUCAGACAAAAUUAGAAACACGAAUGUAUGCACACACACACACACACACACACACACACAGGUAUUUAUGUCUGAUGUCGCUGGUACAGCAGCUUACUGUACUCAGCCAAUGAGCAGGUGUGAGACAGAGUGAUCCACUCCACCGGAUUGAGAUUGUCUGGAGGAUAACGGGCUGGCCCUGAAACGUACUUCUUACUGUCAGGAGAGUCUGAGCUGCAAACACAACGCUCUCUGGUUUUUACCGUCAGAGGAGGAACUUCAUCUGAACCGCCGCGCUGCGAACAGCAACUCAGCAGGAUAAAAAAAAAUAAUGUCUGGCCCGCAGAAACUCUCCCUCACAGUUGCCCUCUGCCUGCUGCUCCUCGCCACACUGUUGCCCAGCUCUGAGGCCCGGCGUGGUCGUGGAGGUGGUGGCUUUGGCCGAGGUGGAGGAGGCUUCGGCCGGGGCUGGGGCGGUGGUGGCAGCCAGGCCUACAGACCCAUCCAGAGCAGUGGCCCCAGUGCAGGGAAAGUAGCCGGGGCUGCCGCAGCGGGCGCCAUAGGAGGAGCGAUGCUCGGGUCUGCUCUGAGCCGCCCUGGGUACGGGUAUGGUGGAGGAUAUGGAGGAUAUGGAGGAUAUGGGGAUAUGGGGAUAUGGAGGAGGUUAUGGCUACCCACCAUACAGAAUUGGUAGUGGCUACGGCCCCAGGCCUGGCUAUGAACCAGAGGGCUCUGGAGAUAUGGAGUACUACACUGGAGCAUCCAGCGGCCCCAUCUACAACAGCAUCAUCGUGGUCAUCGGCUCCCUGACGUCCCUGCUGAUGGGCCACUGGGUGGCAGUCAUGUAGAGUUGGAGACAGAGCUGGGAUCCCAAAAACAGACACAGGUCCAAACCCUGACUAAAAAUAACCCAUAACCUGACACAAAACGGAACUAUUUUUGGUUUAAAGUCAAAUGUGACCUAAAAUAUGGCUCUUGAAUAAUGAAAAGCUGUGGCCAAUUUGUUUCCCCGACACUUCAGUGACCCUCCAUGUGGACGAGAAGAGGAAUUUUGACCCAUCUAACCUCUACAACAUGUCAGUGUGACACCACGUUUCAGUCUGUAGGUGUACUGAUGAAAAGAGAAAACCACUUCCUGUAGAUAUUUGUCGUGAGAUAAUUUGACUCCCAUUUCUCUUAAUGUGGCCAGACUUUUUAUACUUUUGAUGGUUGUGGUGGUGAUGACGAUAUUUAUGAUGAUUUAAUAUGUUUUCUGACAAACACAUUCUCCAUAGUCUGUGAAGAUAGACCAGGAAUAAAUUAGAUGUGUAAUCAUGUUAAGUCUACCUCAAGAAGUCAUAUACAGAGUUUAAGAGCAGCUAUACACUUUGAUAAUUUGAUAAAUGCCAUUUCUCAGUAUAUUUCAUUAUAAGUUAGUCCUUUAGACUGUUUUUUCACUGUUUCACAUUCUGUCUGCUCUGCAUAUUCUUACAUUUUCAGUACACUGCUUGUAUAUGUAUACUUUACCUAAUUAAAGUACAUGUUUUAUGCCAUUUUGUAGACUUUAAUGUGAAAAAACAAAAUGUUCUAAUAAUAUUUCAAUAUUGUUAUAUAAGUAAAAAGAACUUAGAACAAA